CAGCAGGUAGUUUAAAUAAAAUAUUAAUUUUGGAGAUUAAAGAAGGAGGUAUACUCUUCUGCUGA
rnacentral:tRNA from 1 species